GACGAACGCUGGCGGCGUGCUUAACACAUGCAAGUCGAACGGAAAGGCCCUGCUUUUGUGGGGUGCUCGAAUGGCGAACGGGUGAGUAACAAGUGAGUAACCUGCCCUUGACUUUGGGAUAACUUCAGGAAACUGGGGCUAAUACCGGAUAGGAGCUCCUGCUGCAUGGUGGGGGUUGGAAAGUUUCGGCGGUUGGGGAUGGACUCGCGGCUUAUCAGCUUGUUGGUGGGGUAGUGGCUUACCAAGGCUUUGACGGGUAGCCGGCCUGAGAGGGUGACCGGGCACAUUGGUACUGAGGGACGGCCCAGACGCCUACGGGGGGCAGCAGUGGGGAAUAUUGCACAAUGGGCGGAAGCCUGAUGCAGCAGCGCCGCGUGCGGGAUGACGGCCUUCGGGUUGUAAACCGCUUUCGCCUGUGACGAAGCGUGAGUGACGGUAAUGGGUAAAGAAGCACCGGCUAACUACGUG
rnacentral:rRNA from 1 species